rnacentral:rRNA from 1 species
CCAGACUCCUACGGGAGGCAGCAGUGGGGAAUAUUGCACAAUGGGCGGAAGCCUGAUGCAGCAACGCCGCGUGCGGGAUGACGGCCUUCGGGUUGUAAACCGCUUUCGCCUGUGACGAAGCGUGAGUGACGGUAAUGGGUAAAGAAGCACCGGCUAACUACGUGCCAGCAGCCGCGGUGAUACGUAGGGUGCGAGCGUUGUCCGGAUUUAUUGGGCGUAAAGGGCUCGUAGGUGGUUGGUCGCGUCGGAAGUGUAAUCUUGGGGCUUAACCCUGAGCGUGCUUUCGAUACGGGUUGACUUGAGGAAGGUAGGGGAGAAUGGAAUUCCUGGUGGAGCGGUGGAAUGCGCAGAUAUCAGGAGGAACACCAGUGGCGAAGGCGGUUCUCUGGGCCUUUCCUGACGCUGAGGAGCGAAAGCGUGGGGAGCGAACAGGCUUAGAUACCCUGGUAGUCCACGCUGUAAACGGUGGGUACUAGGUGUGGGGUCCAUUCCACGGGUUCCGUGCCGUAGCUAACGCUUUAAGUACCCCGCCUGGGGAGUACGGCCGCAAGGCUAAAACUCAAAGGAAUUGACGGGGGCCCGCACAAG